UCCUCGGCGGGGUAAGACUGCUGCUGGGCCUCUCACUGCCCUCUCGCAUAUCCUCCCCCCACCGAGAAUAAGCCUCUCUCUCUUUUGACCUGGUGUGCAAUUGUGAAAGAUAAAAAAAUUAAUAAUAAGAGAAACUCGGAAUAAAAAAAAAAUAUUGUCGAGGUUAGGAGUUAUUAGCUUUGUUACCUUAGGGAGAUCCAACGCAGAAAUGGGCUGCAGGCGAGACGAAAUGGCUGUAAUCAUUUGACGGCUCCUGAAAUUAUUUUCACCGCUAGCCAUGGAUUCCCUUGGAACUCUAGCCAGACGUAGAAGAAACAAGUGACGAACUCCUGGCGAUGUGCAAGUAAAUAAAAUUCCCCCGAAGUAACGCGCGAGUCUCGUCACAUACAGACCAGAUAUAAAACCAGAGCUGAAAAAAAGGUAGAAAAAUAUGAAACGGACAUUUGAUUUGGAGACACCAUCAAGAUGGAUUAACGUCAAUUUGGCUGCGCUGGUCCUGCUGCUUAUUCCUAAUACAGGUGUUGAGAGCCAAGAGCAGAUGUUCAGAGAGAGACCGAGAUGAGAG